AGUGAAAACUGCACCCUGAACCUUGAGAACCAAGACGCAGUUGCCCAAUGGCGGGCCCCGUAUAGUACAGGGUGGAUUAUACGAUGGUGUUAGCAAAAACUCAAUUCAUUCAUAUAUUGCUACAGAAUGUAAGACAAUCAUGGUCGUACAGUGAAGAAACCUCAUGAACAUCUAAUCUCUAUCUGGUGUAGGCAUGUGAUCUGAACCCCUGCUGCCAUCCGUUCUUGCUGGAGAGCCCUUGUGCCUUGCUAUGUUUUGACAGAACCUACAAGCGGAAUCAGGCAAAGCUUCUUAGACCAUCUGGAACAAAAACAACAAAUAUUUUUGCCAAAGAGCUCAAACGGCUGUUAAGUGGCCAUAGGGAGGGAAGGACACAUACAUAUCCAACUCUUCUUCCC
rnacentral:lncRNA from 1 species